rnacentral:rRNA from 1 species
CCUACGGGUGGCAGCAGUAGGGAAUAUUGCUCCAUGGGGGAAACCCUGAAGCAGCAACGCCGCGUGGAGGAUGAAUGUUUUAGGAUUGUAAACUCCUUUUUUUAGAGAAGAUAUGACGGUAUCGCACGAAUAAGCACCGGCUAACUCCGUGCCAGCAGCCGCGGUAAUACGGAGGGUACACGCGUUACUCGGAAUCACUGGGCGUAAAGAGUGCUCAGGCGGGCUUGUAAGUCAGAUGUGAAAUCAUGUAGCUUAACUACAGAACUGCAUUUGAAACUAUGAGCCUAGAGUGUGGGAGAGGUAGGUGGAAUUCUUGGUGUAGGGGUAAAAGCCGUAGAUAUCAAGAGGAAUACUCAUUGCGAAGGCGACCUACUGGAACAUUACUGACGCUCAUGCACGAAAGCGUGGGGAGCAAACAGGAUUAGAUACCCGUGUAGUC